ACGAACGCUGGCGGCGUGCUUAACACAUGCAAGUCGAACGGAAAGACCCUGCUUUUGUGGGUGCUCGAGUGGCGAACGGGUGAGUAACACGUGAGUAACCUGCCCUUGACUUUGGGAUAACUUCAGGAAACUGGGGCUAAUACCGGAUAGGAGCUCCUGCUGCAUGGUGGGGGUUGGAAAGUUUCGGCGGUUGGGGAUGGACUCGCGGCUUAUCAGCUUGUUGGUGGGGUAGUGGCUUACCAAGGCUUUGACGGGUAGCCGGCCUGAGAGGGUGACCGGCCACAUUGGGACUGAGAUACGGCCCAGACUCCUACGGGAGGCAGCAGUGGGGAAUAUUGCACAAUGGGCGGAAGCCUGAUGCAGCAACGCCGCGUGCGGGAUGACGGCCUUCGGGUUGUAAACCGCUUUCGCCUGUGACGAAGCGUGAGUGACGGUAAUGGGUAAAGAAGCACCGGCUAACUACGUG
rnacentral:rRNA from 1 species